UACGGAGGGGGCUAGCGUUGUUCGGAAUUACUGGGCGUAAAGCGCACGUAGGCGGCUUUGUAAGUUAGAGGUGAAAGCCCGGAGCUCAACUCCGGAAUUGCCUUUAAGACUGCAUCGCUUGAAUCAUGGAGAGGUGAGUGGAAUUCCGAGUGUAGAGGUGAAAUUCGUAGAUAUUCGGAAGAACACCAGUGGCGAAGGCGGCUCACUGGAGCUGGUAUUGACGCUGAUGUGCGAAAGCGUGGGGGAGCAAACAGG
rnacentral:rRNA from 1 species